GCCCUCCUAGCUCAAUCGGAAGAGCGUGGGACUUUUAUGAGGCUUGAACCCAAGCUCCAGUCAUCCCAAGGUCGUGAGUUCGAGCCUCACGGAGGGCG